GACGAACGCUGGCGGCGUGCUUAACACAUGCAAGUCGAGCGGAAAGGCCCUUCGGGGUACUCGAGCGGCGAAUGGGUGAGUAACACGUGAGUAAUCUGCCCCUGGCUUCGGGAUAGCCACCGGAAACGGUGAUUAAUACCGGAUAUGACCACUUUACACAUGUUUGGUGGUGGAAAGUUUUUCGGCCAGGGAUGUGCUCGCGGCCUAUCAGCUUGAUGGUGAGGUAAUGGCUCACCAUGGCUUCGACGGGUAGCCGGCCUGAGAGGGGGACCGGUCACACUGGGACUGAGACACGGCCCAGACUCCUACGGGAGGCAGCAGUGGGGAAUAUUGGACAAUGGGCGGAAGCCUGAUCCAGCAACGCCGCGUGAGGGAUGACGGCCUUCGGGUUGUAAACCUCUUUCAGUACCGACGAAGCGCAAGUGACGGUAGGUACAGAAGAAGCACCGGCCAACUACGUGCCAGCCGCCGCGGUAA
rnacentral:rRNA from 1 species